rnacentral:tRNA from 2 species
GGGGUCGUAGUUCAGUUGGUCAGAACGCCGGCCUGUCACGCCGGAGGCCGCGGGUUCAAGUCCCGUCGACCCCGCCA